rnacentral:rRNA from 1 species
AUUGAACGCUGGCGGCAGGCCUAACACAUGCAAGUCGAACGGUAACAGGAAGAAGCUUGCUUCUUUGCUGACGAGUGGCGGACGGGUGAGUAAUGUCUGGGAAACUGCCUGAUGGAGGGGGAUAACUACUGGAAACGGUAGCUAAUACCGCAUAACGUCGCAAGACCAAAGAGGGGGACCUUCGGGCCUCUUGCCAUCGGAUGUGCCCAGAUGGGAUUAGCUAGUAGGUGGGGUAACGGCUCACCUAGGCGACGAUCCCUAGCUGGUCUGAGAGGAUGACCAGCCACACUGGAACUGAGACACGGUCCAGACUCCUACGGGUGGCAGCAGUGGGGAAUAUUGCACAAUGGGCGCAAGCCUGAUGCAGCCAUGCCGCGUGUAUGAAGAAGGCCUUCGGGUUGUAAAGUACUUUCAGCGGGGAGGAAGGGAGUAAAGUUAAUACCUUUACUCAUUGACGUUACCCGCAGAAGAAGCACCGGCUAACUCCGUG